rnacentral:rRNA from 1 species
GAUGAACGCUGGCGGCGUGCUUAACACAUGCAAGUCGAACGGGAAACCUUUUAUUGAAGCUUCGGCAGAUUUAACUGGUUUCUAGUGGCGGACGGGUGAGUAACGCGUGGGUAACCUGCCUUGUACAGGGGGAUAACAGUCAGAAAUGACUGCUAAUACCGCAUAAGCGCACAGGACCGCAUGGUCCGGUGUGAAAAACUCCGGUGGUAUAAGAUGGACCCGCGUUGGAUUAGCUUGUUGGUGGGGUAACGGCCCACCAAGGCGACGAUCCAUAGCCGGCCUGAGAGGGUGAACGGCCACAUUGGGACUGAGACACGGCCCAGACUCCUACGGGAGGCAGCAGUGGGGAAUAUUGCACAAUGGGGGAAACCCUGAUGCAGCGACGCCGCGUGAAGGAAGAAGUAUCUCGGUAUGUAAACUUCUAUCAGCAGGGAAGAAAA